GACGAACGCUGGCGGCGUGCUUAACACAUGCAAGUCGAACGGAAAGGCCCUGCUUUUGUGGGGUGCUGGAGUGGCGAACGGGUGAGUAACACGUGAGUAACCUGCCCUUGACUUUGGGAUAACUUCAGGAAACUGGGGCGAAUACCGGAUAGGAGCUCCUGCGGCAUGGUGGGGGUUGGAAAGUUUCGGCGGUUGGGGAUGGACUCGCGGCUUAUCAGCUUGUUGGUGGGGUAGUGGCUUACCAAGGCUUUGACGGGUAGCCGGCCUGAGAGGGUGACCGGCCACAUUGGGACUGAGAUACGGCCCAGACUCCUACGGGAGGCAGCAGUGGGGAAUAUUGCAGAAUGGGCGGAAGCCUGAUGCAGCAACGCCGCGUGCGGGAUGACGGCCUUCGGGUUGUAAACCGCUUUCGCCUGUGACGAAGCGUGAGUGACGGUAAUGGGUAAAGGAGCACCGGCUAACUACGUG
rnacentral:rRNA from 1 species